rnacentral:rRNA from 1 species
UCAAGUGAAUAAGUGCAUCAGGCGGAUGCCUUGGCGAUGAUAGGCGACGAAGGACGUGUAAGCCUGCGAAAAGCGCGGGGGAGCUGGCAAUAAAGCUAUGAUUCCGCGAUGUCCGAAUGGGGAAACCCACUGCAUUCUGUGCAGUAUCCUAAGUUGAAUACAUAGGCUUAGAGAAGCGAACCCGGAGAACUGAACCAUCUAAGUACCCGGAGGAAAAGAAAUCAACCGAGAUUCCGCAAGUAGUGGCGAGCGAACGCGGAGGAGCCUGUACGUAAUAACUGUCGAGAUAGAAGAACAAGCUGGGAAGCUUGACCAUAGCGGGUGACAGUCCCGUAUUCGAAAUCUCAACAGCGGUACUAAGCGUACGAAAAGUAGGGCGGGACACGUGAAAUCCUGUCUGAAUAUGGGGGGACCAUCCUCCAAGGCUAAAUACUCAUCAUCGACCGAUAGUGAACCAGUACCGUGAGGGAAAGGCGAAAAGAACCCCGGGAGGGGAGUGAAACAGAACCUGAAACCUGAUGCAUACAAACAGUGGGAGCGCCCUAGUGGUGUGACUGCGUACCUUUUGUAUAAUGGGUCAACGACUUACAUUCAGUAGCGAGCUUAACCGGAUAGGGGAGGCGUAGGGAAACCGAGUCUUAAUAGGGCGAUGAGUUGCUGGGUGCAGACCCGAAACCGAGUGAUCUAUCCAUGGCCAGGUUGAAGGUGCCGUAACAGGUACUGGAGGACCGAACCCACGCAUGUUGCAAAAUGCGGGGAUGAGCUGUGGGUAGGGGUGAAAGGCUAAACAAACUCGGAGAUAGCUGGUUCUCCCCGAAAACUAUUUAGGUAGUGCCUCGAGCAAGACACUGAUGGGGGUAAAGCACUGUUAUGGCUAGGGGGUUAUUGCAACUUACCAACCCAUGGCAAACUCAGAAUACCAUCAAGUGGUUCCUCGGGAGACAGACAGCGGGUGCUAACGUCCGUUGUCAAGAGGGAAACAACCCAGACCGCCGGCUAAGGUCCCAAAUGAUAGAUUAAGUGGUAAACGAAGUGGGAAGGCACAGACAGCCAGGAUGUUGGCUUAGAAGCAGCCAUCAUUUAAAGAAAGCGUAAUAGCUCACUGGUCGAGUCGUCCUGCGCGGAAGAUGUAACGGGGCUCAAAUCUAUAACCGAAGCUGCGGAUGCCGGUUUACCGGCAUGGUAGGGGAGCGUUCUGUAGGCUGAUGAAGGUGCAUUGUAAAGUGUGCUGGAGGUAUCAGAAGUGCGAAUGUUGACAUGAGUAGCGAUAAAGCGGGUGAAAAGCCCGCUCGCCGAAAGCCCAAGGUUUCCUACGCAACGUUCAUCGGCGUAGGGUGAGUCGGCCCCUAAGGCGAGGCAGAAAUGCGUAGUCGAUGGGAAACAGGUUAAUAUUCCUGUACUUGAUUCAAAUGCGAUGUGGGGACGGAGAAGGUUAGGUUGGCAAGCUGUUGGAAUAGCUUGUUUAAGCCGGUAGGUGGAAGACUUAGGCAAAUCCGGGUUUUCUUAACACCGAGAAGUGAUGACGAGUGUCUACGGACACGAAGCAACCGAUACCACGCUUCCAGGAAAAGCCACUAAGCUUCAGUUUGAAUCGAACCGUACCGCAAACCGACACAGGUGGGCAGGAUGAGAAUUCUAAGGCGCUUGAGAGAACUCGGGAGAAGGAACUCGGCAAAUUGAUACCGUAACUUCGGGAGAAGGUAUGCCCUCUAAGGUUAAGGACUUGCUCCGUAAGCCCCGGAGGGUCGCAGAGAAUAGGUGGCUGCGACUGUUUAUUAAAAACACAGCACUCUGCCAACACGAAAGUGGACGUAUAGGGUGUGACGCCUGCCCGGUGCCGGAAGGUUAAUUGAAGAUGUGCAAGCAUCGGAUCGAAGCCCCGGUAAACGGCGGCCGUAACUAUAACGGUCCUAAGGUAGCGAAAUUCCUUGUCGGGUAAGUUCCGACCCGCACGAAUGGCGUAACGAUGGCCACACUGUCUCCUCCCGAGACUCAGCGAAGUUGAAGUGGUUGUGAAGAUGCAAUCUACCCGCUGCUAGACGGAAAGACCCCGUGAACCUUUACUGUAGCUUUGCAUUGGACUUUGAAGUCACUUGUGUAGGAUAGGUGGGAGGCUUGGAAGCAGAGACGCCAGUCUCUGUGGAGUCGUCCUUGAAAUACCACCCUGGUGUCUUUGAGGUUCUAACCCAGACCCGUCAUCCGGGUCGGGGACCGUGCAUGGUAGGCAGUUUGACUGGGGCGGUCUCCUCCCAAAGCGUAACGGAGGAGUUCGAAGGUUACCUAGGUCCGGUCGGAAAUCGGACUGAUAGUGCAAUGGCAAAAGGUAGCUUAACUGCGAGACCGACAAGUCGGGCAGGUGCGAAAGCAGGACAUAGUGAUCCGGUGGUUCUGUAUGGAAGGGCCAUCGCUCAACGGAUAAAAGGUACUCCGGGGAUAACAGGCUGAUUCCGCCCAAGAGUUCAUAUCGACGGCGGAGUUUGGCACCUCGAUGUCGGCUCAUCACAUCCUGGGGCUGUAGUCGGUCCCAAGGGUAUGGCUGUUCGCCAUUUAAAGUGGUACGUGAGCUGGGUUUAAAACGUCGUGAGACAGUUUGGUCCCUAUCUGCAGUGGGCGUUGGAAGUUUGACGGGGGCUGCUCCUAGUACGAGAGGACCGGAGUGGACGAACCUCUGGUGUACCGGUUGUAACGCCAGUUGCAUAGCCGGGUAGCUAAGUUCGGAAGAGAUAAGCGCUGAAAGCAUCUAAGCGCGAAACUCGCCUGAAGAUGAGACUUCCCUUGCGGUUUAACCGCACUAAAGGGUCGUUCGAGACCAGGACGUUGAUAGGUGGGGUGUGGAAGCGCGGUAACGCGUGAAGCUAACCCAUACUAAUUGCCCGUGAGGCUUGACUCU